UCACUCUGUCACCCAGGCUGGAGUGCCCUGGCAUCCUGGCUCACUGCAAGCUCUACCUCCUGGGUUCAAAUGAUUGUUCUGCCUCAGACUCCCAAGAAGUUGGAAUUACAGAUGCAUACUACCACACCCAGCAAAUUUUCGUAUUUUUAGUAGAGACAUUAAUAACAGUCAUUCUAACUGGAAUAAGAUGAUCCACAGAUCUUAGAUGAAGAUGGUAGACAACACUCACAAUAUGAAAGAGGAGCUGAUCCCUGAGUCACAACUUGAAGGGUAAAUGAGUUUUUGAGACUUUCUUGGAAGAAAUGGAUCUGAAAAACAGAGUUUGGAGAAAGAAAUGAAAGCAGAAAAAAAUAAAAUGUUGUCCACUGAUGAAAACAUGGCAGAUGUAUUCUCAUGGCUUCAACCCGCUCCUUGAAGACAUCUGAUUCUUUUACUCACAACCUUCUGCUACUAUAUCAAAGGGCCCUAAAUCUUAUAUGAUUGUGGGCUCUAAAUCCAAUAUGACUGUCGUCCUUUUAAGAAGAGGAAAACUUGAAAAAAAAAAGGGAAGAGGAAAACUUGGAUGUAGUCUCAGACACAUUGGGUAGAAGGCCAUGGGAAGACAGAGGCAGAGAUGGGCAUGAUGUAUUUAUAAAUUGAGGAAUGUCCAGUAUUGCUGACAACCAUAGAAGAGGCAAGGAAGAAUUUUUCCUGGAGACCUCAGUGGAGCCAUGUCUCUGUCUAUACCUUAUUUUUUCUGAUUCCUCACUUAUAAAACUAUGAAAGAACACGUUAAUGUUGUUUUAGCCACUCAGUUUGUGGCAUUUUUUACCAUAGCCCUAGAAAUCUAACAUACCUGUUGAGAUGGCGUAUGACAAAUUUCUCUACUGUAAAGCUACUAUAAUGCCCUUAUUUUCACACAAUACACUCAAUCCAGUCCACAUUCAAGGGGAAGGGAAUUAAGCUUUAUCAUCUAGAGGAAGGGUAUCAAAUAAAUUGUGGACACAUGGUAAAACCACCACAAUAACUAAUAAACGCUUUUGGGAAAUAUGUCAAAUCUUUGCAAAUACCCUAUUUUUUUAAAGGGUUUGCUCAGUAAUUUUAGUAUUCAUCAUUGGAUUUUGCCUGCAACAGUUAUUAGUGUAGUGUUCUAAUGG